AGAGUUUGAUCAUGGCUCAGGAUGAACGCUAGCGGCAGGCUUAAUACAUGCAAGUCGAGGGGCAGCAUGGUCGUAGCAAUACGACUGAUGGCGACCGGCAAACGGGUGCGGAACACGUACAGAACCUUCCUUCGAGCGGGGAAUAGCCCAGAGAAAUUUGGAUUAAUACCCCAUAGUAUAACGGAGUGGCAUCACUUUGUUAUUAAAGAUUUAUCACUUGAAGAUGGCUGUGCGGCUGAUUAGGUAGUUGGCGGGGUAACGGCCCACCAAGCCUGCGAUCAGUAACUGGUGUGAGAGCACGACCAGUCACACGGGCACUGAGACACGGGCCCGACUCCUACGGGAGGCAGCAGUAAGGAAUAUUGGUCAAUGGACGAAAGUCUGAACCAGCCAUGCCGCGUGGAGGAUGAAGGCCCUCUGGGUUGUAAACUUCUUUUAUAUGGGACGAAAAUGGGACUUUCUAGUUCAACUGACGGUACCAUGUGAAUAAGCACCGGCUAACUCCGUGCCAGCAGCCGCGGUAAUUC
rnacentral:rRNA from 1 species